rnacentral:lncRNA from 1 species
CAAAGUUAGAGACAGCAGCCCAUGAAAAAAUGGGAAAAAAACAAAGAAACUGAUUUGCUUCUUUUUUUUGUUCAUUCAAUACAGAAAUCCUAGCUUUUGGUGCAGGAAAAGGAGCUGAAUUUCAGCUGUCAUAGUCGUGGCAGAGCACCUGAAAAAACACCAAACCGAAGCACAAGCAAAGGCAAGGGGACUGGACCUGCUUGCGGGGGAAAC